AUUGAACGCUGGCGGCAUGCCUUACACAUGCAAGUCGAACGGCAGCACGGGGGCAACCCUGGUGGCGAGUGGCGAACGGGUGAGUAAUGCAUCGGAACGUGCCCAGUAGUGGGGGAUAACCAGUCGAAAGACUGGCUAAUACCGCAUACGACCCAAGGGUGAAAGCGGGGGACCGUAAGGCCUCGCGCUAUUAGAGCGGCCGAUGUCUGAUUAGCUAGUUGGCGGGGUAAGAGCCCACCAAGGCGACGAUCUGUAGCGGGUCUGAGAGGAUGAUCCGCCACACUGGAACUGAGACACGGUCCAGACUCCUACGGGAGGCAGCAGUGGGGAAUUUUGGACAAUGGGGGCAACCCUGAUCCAGCCAUGCCGCGUGAGUGAAGAAGGCCUUCGGGUUGUAAAGCUCUUUCGGCCGGGAAGAAAUCGUAUCAGCUAAUACCCUGUGUGGAUGACGGUACCGGAAUAAGAAGCACCGGCUAACUACGUGCCAGCCGCCGCAGUAAGAC
rnacentral:rRNA from 1 species